rnacentral:rRNA from 1 species
UACAGAGGGUGCAAGCGUUAAUCGGAAUUAUUGGGCGUAAAGGGCUUGUAGGUUGUUCUAUAAGUUAGAUGUGAAAACCCUGGGCUUAACCUGGGACGUGCAUUUAAUACUGUAGAGCUAGAGUAUGGUAGAGGAGUAGGGAAUUCCUGGUGUAGCAGUGAAAUGCGUAGAGAUCAGGAGGAACAUCAGUGGCGAAGGCGCUACUCUGGACUAAUACUGACACUGAGGAGCGAAGGCGUGGGGAGCAAACAGG